CCGUAGAACGUAAAAAAGAGGAGUGGCGAAGGGGUGAGUAACACGUGGGUAACCUGCCCAUCAGAAGGGGAUAACACUUGGAAACAGGUGCUAAUACCGUAUAACAAUCGAAACCGCAUGGUUUUGAUUUGAAAGGCGCUUUCGGGUGUCGCUGAUGGAUGGACCCGCGGUGCAUUAGCUAGUUGGUGAGGUAACGGCUCACCAAGGCCACGAUGCAUAGCCGACCUGAGAGGGUGAUCGGCCACAUUGGGACUGAGACACGGCCCAAACUCCUACGGGAGGCAGCAGUAGGGAAUCUUCGGCAAUGGACGAAAGUCUGACCGAGCAACGCCGCGUGAGUGAAGAAGGUUUUCGGAUCGUAAAACUCUGUUGUUAGAGAAGAACAAGGAUGAGAGUAACUGUUCAUCCCUUGACGGUAUCUAACCAGAAAGCCACGGCUAACUACGUGCCAGCAGCCGCGGUAAUACGUAGGUGGCAAGCGUUGUCCGGAUUUAUUGGGCGUAAAGCGAGCGCAGGCGGUUUCUUAAGUCUGAUGUGAAAGCCCCCGGCUCAACCGGGGAGGGUCAUUGGAAACUGGGAGACUUGAGUGCAGAAAAGGAGAGUGGAAUUCCAUGUGUAGCGGUGAAAUGCGUAGAUAUAUGGGAGGAACACCAGUGGCGAACGCAGCUCUCUGGUCUGUAACUGACGCUGAAGCUCGAAAGCGUGGGGAUCAAACAGGAUUAGAUACCACUGGUAGUCCACGCUGUAAAC
rnacentral:rRNA from 1 species